rnacentral:lncRNA from 1 species
CAAAAGUCUUAUGUGUCAAUACCAGAAAAAUCCUAUUUAAAACACACAAAAAUUUAUCUAUAAAUAUUUUAAAAAAUAAUUAAAAAUAAAAAAUCUAUCUAUAUUUGCACAUUAACUACCCCUACAUAAACUGCACGUUAACUACCCAUAGAAUAAAUACACGUUUUUGAGCCUUCAACCGAAACACAUUGUUGGGUUUCAUUUUAUGGCGAAAAAAAGAAGAAAAAAACCAAAAAAACAUAGGUCAAAUGCAACUUCACAAUCAAAGGAAUCAGUGUUGUUGAAUACACUGUCAAUUUGCCGUAGAUGGAUAAAUUUAUAGCAACUGAAGCAACACUCUUUUAAAUAUAAUCGCCAAAACAAAAUCCUUGCAGAAGCAACUGAAUCAAAAUGCAUUUCAGAGGCUGACAUUGUCAUUGUCAUCUUCUUCAUAUAAUCGCCAAAACAAAAUCCUUGCAGAAGCAACUGAAUCAAAAUGCAUUUCAGAGGCUGACAUUGUCAUUGUCAUCUUCUUCGUUGCCGGUGUCGAGAAGGUAUUAUUUGGGCAAAUUCUAAUGACGGUUACGUUAUGAACCUAAUUUCAAACCACUUACUUCUCGCAUUGUUGAUUUUACUCACAGAAGGCAACUCCACCAGGUGUUGCUCUCGAAUUACUCCUUCACUUUCAUAUUACUUGGCUUGUUCGUAUGAUACAUUGAUAAAGAAAGCUUUGAUUAGAGAUAGUUAAAUGUGGCUAUAUCAUAUGAUGUACUUUUUUAUACUCUAAUUUAUAUUAUUUUCUCCACCAUUUUUACUUUCUUUUAAAAAUAAUUUAAUGAGUAAACAAAAUAUGCAUUCAGUUAUAAUUUGUUUCUCUAUAUUUAUCCAUAUUUUUGUUGUGUUGAUCUUUUUGUCUUAAGUUUACAUUAUCUGCAGAGAAUGAAUAAAAAAAAUCCUUCUUUUCUAUAACUGCUCCUUCUUUAUAGCAAAGAAGAAAAUCCAAAUUGUUUAUAUUAAUUUUUAAACACGUAUACGACUCUUUUUCUGUGGGAAGUUAUCAGAUCUUUUUACUAAAUAUUUAACUAUCUAUCUUCCCACAACUUCUCCUUCUUCACAGAAAAAAAAAAAUACUCUUUUUUUAAAUUAAAAAUAUAUAAGAAUCAAAUUUUAUUAAGCACGUUAGGAUUUUUUUCCCAUGGAAAGUUAUCAAUUUUUUUAAAAAUAGUUUUUAAUUUUUUUAACUUAAAAAAUAAAUUUAAUAAGAACAUUUAGUUGCAAAGCACACUUAGGAAUUUAAUUUCAAGUUAAAAUAAAAUGAAUGAAAUAUUUCUAAUUUCCAAAAUUGAAUUUCUUUAACAUAAUAUAAAAAAAAUAGUUUUCAAUUGUCAAAAUAAUAUAUAAUAUAUAAUAGGAAUUAUUUAAAAAUAUAAAAACGAUGUUUGACAGUUACAAAGUUUAUAGAUUACAUAUUUCAAAUUUUUUUAUUUAUCGAAUAAUGAUUUUACGUGUAGCUAAUGUUUGUGUUUUUCUGGAUUCUUAUUUUUAAAAUUUGGUAAUUUUUUAUUUUUUUUUGGAUAGAGUGAUAAAAUCAUUUUAUGUUCAUUCUAAAUGGGAUAAAAAGAUUUAUCCAAAUUAUUAUUACACUAUCAAAUCUAAAGGAGUGGUCAUCUAGAAAAAGGGGAAAACCUGUACAACUAUUAUCAAUAAUUUUCUUUACAAAUUAAAAAUAAAACUAAAAAUUAUAGCUUUAAAAGCAGUACAACUGUCACACAUUUUUACUGAUAAUACAACAUUAUCAUUUAAAAAAAACCGGCAAGAUCAUCACAAACCCACUAUUAAAAAUUAAACUUAAAAUUAUAAUUUAAAAGCAGUACAACUGCCACACAUUUUUACGGAUAAUACAACACAUUAUCAUUUAAAGAAAAACGGCAAGAUCAUCACAAACCCACAAUAAUAAAAAUUAAACUUAAAAUUAUAAUUUAAAAGCAGUACAACUGCCACACAUUUACUGAUAAUACAACUUUAUCAUUUCAAAAAAAAUAUAUAAAAACAGCAUCAUCAUCACAAAACCACUAUAUUCACUACAAGUUUCCACAACAUUCCCACUACUUUUUUUUAUGACUAUAUUUAAAAUUACAAGACUACAAUUUGAUCACAACAAAAUACAAGAAUUUUCAUUAUAAAAUCAGUAUUUAUUAUAUUUGACAUUAAAACAAAAUAUAUCUUUACAAAUUCAAAUCUCAGUAACUGUCACACACAAACAUCCGAUAAUCACUACAAGUUUCCCUCAAUACUCCCACUACUUAAAAACUGUUUUUCAUUUACAACUCUUCUAAAUAUAUCUUAACUUUCUAUACGUUGAUAUAUACUUCUUUCAGAAAAAAAUUAACGAAUACAAAUAUGAGCAAAAAUUGUAUGUUCGUGUGAUGGAUGAAACUGGUCAUAUAACUUUACUGCUUCGGAAUCGCGAGGCUGUGCAACUUAUAGGAAAGUCCGCGAGGCUGUGAUGGAUGGAACUGGUCUUUUUAAUAUAAUCUCCUAUUGUGUUUGAAUUUAUCUUGACACAACUUUACACUACAUUCUUUUAGAGACUCCCAUCAAGAACAAUCUUACAGGAUGUGGAUCAUCCCUAACAGAAAUAGUGUUGAUAUGACAGAAAAACAGACUUUCAAAAGAAGCAAAUCUGUAGGAAAUUCCCAAUGCAAGAAUAUGAUGAUGAAUGUAACGACAAACAAGUCGACAACAAGGUUCGCAGAGUGAUUAAGAAGGAAAAAAAUAUGAUGUCGGAACUACAUGG